AGCUCCAAGAGCAUAUAUUAAAGUUGUUGCAGUUAAAAAGCUCGUAGUUGAACUUCUUAUAAAUGCACCUGGCCCGCGGCCCUCAAGGCUUGUGUGUGCCGGAGCGCAUUUAUAAUCCUUCUAGAAAACGAUUCUGCCAUUAACUUGGUGGGGUCGCGAUCUAGAACAUUUACUUUGAAAAAAUUAGAGUGUUUAAAGCAGGCGGAAAGUCAUAAAUACAUUAGCAUGGAAUAAUAAUCUAGGACUUCGGUUCUAUUUUGUUGGUUUCUAUAACUGAAGUAAUGAUUGAUAGGGACAGUUGGGGGUGCUAGUAUUGGCCGGCCAGAGGUGAAAUUCUUGGAUUCGGUCAAGACUAACUUAUGCGAAAGCAUUCACCAAGGAUGUCUUCU
rnacentral:rRNA from 1 species